UACGGAGGGAGCUAGCGUUGUUCGGAAUUACUGGGCGUAAAGCGCACGUAGGCGGCUUUGUAAGUUAGAGGUGAAAGCCCGGGGCUCAACCCCGGAAUUGCCUUUAAGACUGCAUCGCUUGAAUCCGGGAGAGGUGAGUGGAAUUCCGAGUGUAGAGGUGAAAUUCGUAGAUAUUCGGAAGAACACCAGUGGCGAAGGCGGCUCACUGGACCGGUAUUGACGCUGAGGUGCAAAAGCGUGGGGAGCAAACAGG
rnacentral:rRNA from 1 species